UCAACCUGAAAUCUUAUUUAGCUAAUUUGAGGCUUGUUCAUAAAAUAAGAAACUCUAAUUAAGUUAAUUAAGAUUCGGGUGAUUCCACUCAUCCACAAACAAGAUCAUAGUGUUCAUCCACUUGUUGAAUGUGUUAACAGUAUCGAGGGACAGAACUACAUUCUAUUGUCCAACAAGACUGGGAGUGUGAGAAGUCUUUUUGAGUAACCACGGUUUUAUCUGGUAGAUUCAUGGCAGAUUUCUGCACGUUUGUGCUGAUCUGAACUGGAAUUCGCAUCAAUGGCCUUCCAUCAUUCCUGGACCACGAAGCUUCAGAAACCUCUCAUCUACAUCCUGGUCAACUCAUCUGUGGUUGCACUGAUGAUCAGCUGCUUCAGAUUCACCAUCUCCAUCACACCAACCGAACUGCCUGCGCUAUCCAGGGAUUCAUAACCACACAGAUUAAAGGAGUUGUCUGGACUCCAAACUCCACUUCCACAGGUUGGAUCUUCGUAAACAAGGGAGCUGCCUUUGCUGCCUCAACAGCAACGAUCCCCACCUUCUUUGAAAACAGCUCAGCUCUGUAUAAUCCUGUUAUCUAUGUGCUGUUUAAACAAACAGGUUGCUUCUUAAACGCAAUUCAAAACUGGAACGUUCCAGUACUGCUGAAUUUACUGACAGGCUUUUUUUUUUGUAUACAUGAAGUCACACUAAUCACCAACUACUUACUUGCACAGUGUGCAUAUUUUCUGAUGCUGUUAAUGUUUGAAUUAAAUAUAUUCAGUAUUUAUAAACAUUGGGAGUAAAACAAUCCAAUUGUAUGAUUUUCUGUUGUGACAAAACACAAAAUGCUAAUUUUUCAUUUAUACGUGAGUAAGUUAAAUGUUGUGAUUAUACAUUAGUAUUAACAUGUAAUUUGUUUGUAAGAUGAGAAAAAUACGACUAAUUGAGCUUUAAAAUUUUUUAAUAUUAUUAUUUGUACAGCUUUAGAGUAAUUUUCUUCACAUUUCAUUUCCAUAACUGUACAUGUAUGCUCAGUACCUUUGGAAGUAGUGAAUUGUUAGAAGAUGAAACCGCAGUGUACACUGGUAAGACAGACGGCUCCACUGUGUCCUAAGAAUAAAGACAUUUAUUCAGCUCUGGA